rnacentral:lncRNA from 1 species
GGCCUGGAGGCCCAGCUGAGUGAGCUCCGAUGCGAGAUGGAGGCUCAGAACCAGGAGUACAAGAUGCUGCUUGACAUAAAGACACGGCUGGAGCAGGAGAUCGCUACUUACCGCAGCCUGCUCGAGGGCCAGGAUGCCAAGAUGGCUGGCAUUGCCAUCAGGGAAGCCUACUCCUUCUCUCUCUAGCCUCUUCAGGAGGUGGUGGUAGCAGCAGCAAUUUCCACAUCAAUGUAGAAGAGUCAGUGGAUGGACAGGUGGUUUCUUCCCACAAGAGAGAAAUCUAAGUGUCUAUUGCAGGAGAAACGUCCCUUGCCACUCCCCACUCUCAUCAGGCCAAGUGGAGGACUGGCCAGAGGGCCUGCACAUGCAAACUCCAGUCCCUGCCUUCAGAGAGCUGAAAAGGGUCCCUCGGUCUUUUAUUUCAGGGCUUUGCAUGCGCUCUAUUCCCCCUCUGCCUCUCCCCACCUUCUUUGGAGCAAGGAGAUGCAGCUGUAUUGUGUAACAAGCUCAUUUGUACAGUGUCUGUUCAUGUAAUAAAGAAUUACUUUUCCUUUUGC